GACGAACGCUGGCGGCGUGCUUAACACAUGCAAGUCGAACGGUAAGGCCCUUCGGGGUACACGAGUGGCGAACGGGUGAGUAACACGUGGGUGAUCUGCCCUGCACUUCGGGAUAAGCCUGGGAAACUGGGUCUAAUACCGGAUAGGACUCCUGGCUUCAUGGUUGGGGGUGGAAAGCUUUUGCGGUGUGGGAUGGGCCCGCGGCCUAUCAGCUUGUUGGUGGGGUAAUGGCCUACCAAGGCGACAACGGGUAGCCGGCCUGAGAGGGUGACCGGUCACACCGGGACUGAGAUACGGCCCAGACUCCUACGGGAGGCAGCAGUGGGGAAUAUUGCACAAUGGGCGCAAGCCUGAUGCAGCGACGCCGCGUGAGGGAUGACGGCCUUCGGGUUGUAAACCUCUUUCAGCUAUGACGAAGCGCAAGUGACGGUAGUAGCAGAAGAAGGACCGGCCAACUACGUGCCAGCCGCCGCGGUAA
rnacentral:rRNA from 1 species